UACGGGGGGUGCGAGCGUUGUCCGGAAUCACUGGGCGUAAAGGGCGCGUAGGUGGUUUGAUAAGGGUGUGGUGAAAGUCCGGAGCUCAACUCCGGAUCUGCCGUGCCGACUGUCAAACUCGAGGGCUGUAGAGGCAGACGGAAUUCCGGGUGUAGCGGUGGAAUGCGUAGAGAUCCGGAGGAAGACCGGUGGCGAAGGCGGGUCUCUGGGCCGAUACUGACGCUCAUGCACGAAAGCGUGGGGAGCAAACAGG
rnacentral:rRNA from 1 species